rnacentral:rRNA from 1 species
UACGGGGGGGGCAAGCGUUGUUCGGAAUUACUGGGCGUAAAGGGCGCGUAGGCGGCCUUCUAAGUCGGACGUGAAAUCCCUCGGCUCAACCGGGGAACUGCGUCCGAUACUGGGGGGCUUGAAUCCGGGAGAGGGAUGUGGAAUUCCAGGUGUAGCGGUGAAAUGCGUAGAUAUCUGGAGGAACACCGGUGGCGAAGGCGGCAUCCUGGACCGGCAUUGACGCUGAGGCGCGAAAGCCAGGGGAGCAAACGGG